rnacentral:tRNA from 1 species
AUUUUUAUAGUGUAAAAAACACAUAGUUCUUUCAAAACUAAAUUAUCUGUUUUUAAAAAUCAGAUUAAAGUA